rnacentral:rRNA from 1 species
AUUGAACGCUGGCGGCAUGCCUUACACAUGCAAGUCGAACGGCAGCACGGGUGCUUGCACCUGGUGGCGAGUGGCGAAAGGGUGAGUAAUACAUCGGAACAUGUCCUGUAGUGGGGGAUAGCCCGGCGAAAGCCGGAUUAAUACCGCAUACGAUCUACGGAUGAAAGCGGGGGACCUUCGGGCCUCGCGCUAUAGGGUUGGCCGAUGGCUGAUUAGCUAGUUGGUGGGGUAAAGGCCUACCAAGGCGACGAUCAGUAGCUGGUCUGAGAGGACGACCAGCCACACUGGGACUGAGACACGGCCCAGACUCCUACGGGAGGCAGCAGUGGGGAAUUUUGGACAAUGGGCGAAAGCCUGAUCCAGCAAUGCCGCGUGUGUGAAGAAGGCCUUCGGGUUGUAAAGCACUUUUGUCCGGAAAGAAAUACUUGGCCCUAAUACGGUCGGGGGAUGACGGUACCGGAAGAAUAAGCACCGGCUAACUACGUG